AGAGUUUGAUCAUGGCUCAGAUUGAACGCUGGCGGCAGGCCUAACACAUGCAAGUCGAGCGGAUGAAGGGAGCUUGCUCCUGGAUUCAGCGGCGGACGGGUGAGUAAUGCCUAGGAAUCUGCCUGGUAGUGGGGGAUAACGUCCGGAAACGGGCGCUAAUACCGCAUACGUCCUGAGGGAGAAAGUGGGGGAUCUUCGGACCUCACGCUAUCAGAUGAGCCUAGGUCGGAUUAGCUAGUUGGUGGGGUAAAGGCCUACCAAGGCGACGAUCCGUAACUGGUCUGAGAGGAUGAUCAGUCACACUGGAACUGAGACACGGUCCAGACUCCUACGGGAGGCAGCAGUGGGGAAUAUUGGACAAUGGGCGAAAGCCUGAUCCAGCCAUGCCGCGUGUGUGAAGAAGGUCUUCGGAUUGUAAAGCACUUUAAGUUGGGAGGAAGGGCAGUAAGUUAAUACCUUGCUGUUUUGACGUUACCAACAGAAUAAGCACCGGCUAACUUCGUGCCAGCAGCCGCGGUAAUACGAAGGGUGCAAGCGUUAAUCGGAAUUACUGGGCGUAAAGCGCGCGUAGGUGGUUCAGCAAGUUGGAUGUGAAAUCCCCGGGCUCAACCUGGGAACUGCAUCCAAAACUACUGAGCUAGAGUACGGUAGAGGGUGGUGGAAUUUCCUGUGUAGCGGUGAAAUGCGUAGAUAUAGGAAGGAACACCAGUGGCGAAGGCGACCACCUGGACUGAUACUGACACUGAGGUGCGAAAGCGUGGGGAGCAAACAGGAUUAGAUACCCUGGUAGUCCACGCCGUAAACGAUGUCGACUAGCCGUUGGGAUCCUUGAGAUCUUAGUGGCGCAGCUAACGCGAUAAGUCGACCGCCUGGGGAGUACGGCCGCAAGGUUAAAACUCAAAUGAACUGACGGGGGCCCGCACAAGCGGUGGAGCAUGUGGUUUAAUUCAAAGCAACGCGAAGAACCUUACCUGGCCUUGACAUGCUGAGAACUUUCCAGAGAUGGAUUGGUGCCUUCGGGAACUCAGACACAGGUGCUGCAUGGCUGUCGUCAGCUCGUGUCGUGAGAUGUUGGGUUAAGUCCCGUAACGAGCGCAACCCUUGUCCUUAGUUACCAGCACCUCGGGUGGGCACUCUAAGGAGACUGCCGGUGACAAACCGGAGGAAGGUGGGGAUGACGUCAAGUCAUCAUGCCCCUUACGGCCAGGGCUACACACGUGCUACAAUGGUCGGUACAAAGGGUUGCCAAGCCGCGAGGUGGAGCUAAUCCCAUAAAACCGAUCGUAGUCCGGAUCGCAGUCUGCAACUCGACUGCGUGAAGUCGGAAUCGCUAGUAAUCGUGAAUCAGAAUGUCACGGUGAAUACGUUCCCGGGCCUUGUACACACCGCCCGUCACACCAUGGGAGUGGGUUGCUCCAGAAGUAGCUAGUCUAACCGCAAGGGGGACGGUUACCACGGAGUGAUUCAUGACUGGGGUGAAGUCGUAACAAGGUAGCCGUAGGGGAACCUGCGGCUG
rnacentral:rRNA from 1 species